UACGUAGGGGGCUAGCGUUGUCCGGAAUCAUUGGGCGUAAAGAGCGUGUAGGCGGUCCGGUAAGUCCGUUGUGAAAGUCAAGGGCUCAACCCUUGAAUGCCGGCGGAUACUGUCGGGCUAGAGUCCGGAAGAGGCGAGUGGAAUUCCCGGUGUAGCGGUGAAAUGCGCAGAUAUCAGGAAGAACACCCGUGGCUAAGGCGGCUCUCUAGUACGGUACCUGGACGCUGAAGACGCGAAAGCGUGGGGAGCGA
rnacentral:rRNA from 1 species